rnacentral:lncRNA from 1 species
AAUCUUCCUCCCGAAAGAGGCCCAAUACGAUGAGGCCUAGUCUUGGGCCUUGUAGACUCUCGAGCACCCAAGACUUACCCCAAAUGCAUGGACACUACUCUACUCCCCGACAGGGACAACCCGCCAGACUACAGAGAUAGAGCCUUCCAGGGCGCAUCUUCUCUUUAACCUCUACCUCCCAAGGAGGACAACUCCUCAGACUACAAGGUAGGGCCUUUGAUGAUUCAACAGUAGGAUUUACUUAUGAUUAAGGGCGUCCCCCUAAACAAGAAGUAUCUCCUUCUGUUCUUCUAAAUUACUGUUAACUAGACUGUCCUCGGCAGAGUGGCGCGCCCAGAAGAUAGGGCGUGCCCUAUCUUUUAACAGGGUCACUUUGAAGUCGUGUUGAUCUUGAUUCUCCUGGCCCAAAUAGGCCUUCUUUUGUGGGCCCGGCCCAUUUAGUUAAUCUUCAUAAUUUUGCACCCUAAGUGGUCUCUUCUGACUAGCAUGACUAGUUUGGGGUUGGUCCAAUUUUGAAGCUGUCAGCCCAUCCUAGUCUUCUUUCAUGGGUUUGGCCCAUGAAGUCGGUCUUCAUAUAAAUCAUUUACUUAUGAUGCUGAAAGGUGGCUUCUCCCUCCAAUCAGGGCGCGCCCUCAUGGAGGUCCGUCUGGGCGUGGUCAGAUACGUGGGCGCGCCCACAUAUUGCCAAGCCCAAUCUUGAGUGUGUCAGUCCAUAUCUUCACCUUCUAUACGGGCCUAGCCCACUAGUAAAGUUCAUGUCGAAUUUUGGGUAUAACAACUACCCCCGAUUCCGACGUGUAUUGAAGAUACAGGUUGGAAUCAUAAUUUAUCCAAAAUUCUUCUUCUCUGAUGAGCUGUUUAUAUAAGUCACACGCCUUCCUUGAAGAGUUGUUCGUAGGGUUGGACAACAUUAUUGUAUGUUUCUUAAUCAUAUUGCACUGAGCAGGUCCGACCUCUGACAUAUAAUUUAGAGGAAGUCUGGUUCGACGUAUUACCUGGGGCAAGUCUGGUUCGAGUAAUAUUUAGCAUGGAUCAUGGAUGGUAUGUAGAGCAGAUCAUUGAUGGUUGAUGAUCAUGUGAGGAUGAAUGAAUAUGCUGCCAAGAUAAAUGAAGUACGACUCUGUAGAUAUAAGGAUGCGUCGUUGAAGAUUGGAGAUCAUGCACUUGGAGAAUGUUGAGAAUUGAUGAAGACGGUGUUAUGAAGGUGAAAAUAUUUUGCGACGUAAUAUAUUCACUCUGCAUUUCAUGACGCGCCUUGUUAGGCUAGAUGUUUUGGGAGUGUCCUCUUUGAUGGAGGCAACUUGAUGGCUUAGUACUCCUACUAUGCUGCAAAUAGUCAUAAUGUUGACACCAACGAAUCCUUACCUGACCACAAUGAAUGUUCCUGUGGUGAAUGUAGUCCAGCCAUAUUGCGGUUGCUUUGGUAUGGCGCGUCUACAUCAUUUCAUUUUUUUUUAUCAAAAUCGAUCAGCCCACCAUCAUGUUCAUAUAUCACAAUAUCUUUCGUAUUCUUGCAUCAAUCACUACUUGAAUAAAGUCCUGGUUUGAAGUAAGUCGUCUUAUGUAACCAUGCAGCCACGUAGAUAGCAACUGACCCCUAAAAUUUUGUUAAUUGACUUGCGUUGGACUCUGAACUAUAAUAUAGGCCUGCUCCUUCACUUAGUAUCAUAUUUUGAUAAAUUUUUAAUUUAAGAACCCAUAUAUGUCUCACCUUGUCAUCAUAAUAUCUUUCUUCAUCGAGAUCCUGGGACAGCAUGAGCACCCAUUUAUUGUCUUGAGCUCUGGACGCGCCUAAUAUUUAAGCAAAGAUGAGUUUCAAGUUCUCGAGUGCUCCUUCAUAUUCUGAAAUAAGUCUUGCCUCCUUUAUUUAUUUCUUUUCAAUAUUUGAUGUCACCAUCGCACGUUAUUGUACUGCAUGCUGCUUUUCAUCUUUAACUUCACAUAACCGUAAUUAGCUUGACUCCUAGGCGCGCCGCAACUUAUAUAUUUGAUCGCUCCUCCAGGCGCGUCCACAUAAUAUAGUAACCGGAAGGAAGUCAAGAAUGAAUACAAUUCGAUAGACAUGCGGGCUUGCUGGUUUUCUAAAGAGAGAUGAGAGCAUAUAUGAUGAUUUCGGAGCAGGCCAUAGUUCUGCUAGCAUCUCUGUUGGCUUCGGUACCCGAAGUUCUUGAGCCUUAACUGGGCACGCCUCACAUUUUUAAACAGCUAAGUACAGCCUGCAAGUAAUGACUCCCGAUACGGUCUUCUCCUCUCUCUUUUUGUUCAAUGCUUUCUAUCAAAUGGUUCCAAGGCGACUCGCUGCAUUGGCUGGUACCGAACCUGUUCAUCUUUGCUCUCGGAACUAAACAAACCAUCACCACGGUUUGUUGACUUCAUAGAAUGAGCCUGGACACAAAGCAUAUAGUGUCCGCCGGUUUUAAGAAAAUACCGAACGUUCAAAUAUGCCGUGUGGACCUUUCGUGGACGAUCAGGAGCAGCAAACAUUACAUCCACCAUAUUAAUAAGCAUGCGGUAAUAUUUGGCUGUUUUUGUCAAGCUUGUUCCUGGCGCGCCAUCUUUUCCCGUCACAUACACGAUGAAGCAAGUACUCUUUUGUUUUCAUAAUAAUAAACAAUAGUUUCCUUCAUUCCUGCAGUUAUAUAAUAGUUCUUGACAAAAAUGGCGCGCCUUAACUCAACAUAAUCUUCUCUUUCUUGCUUCGACUGCUCUAACUUUGCAUAGCCACUUGCUGAGGUAUGUUAUAGUUUUGGCUAAUUAGGUACUCUCCGUUGAUUUGAUUCCAUGCAAAAUAACCUUGAAUCAACUUUAUAUUUCCUCAACAUUAUAAUUUCUCAUUAGUUCCAUGCGGGACCAACAUAUUUGAUGUGUUGUCAUGUCAUCAAUACUUGUCAAGAUAUAGUGUAGCUUUAGAUCUCAAAUAAUCAUGAGGGAGCACUAUCUUUUGUCUUUAAACAACGGGGCCCAUCAACUUGCAUGCACCACAUAAUAAUCUCUCACACGUUUACUUACCUCCUGGCUUUUGAUAUUUAUAAUUUAAACUUGUGCUCCAUCUUCUUGGUGGCACCCACACAUCACAUGCAUCUUCAAAAAAACAUUAUAGUAUUCCACUGCCAAGUACCAACUCCUGUAUGUUACUUCCACCAGAAUCUCACCAUCUUUAUGUACUUCUUCUUCUGCAAUGACCGCAUGCCAAUUUCAUAUUUUUAUUUUUAACUGAAUCGUUCCUUGGAGGCGCGCCUUUCAUUUUUCUUCUUCAACAAAAAUCUUCCAUUAUUUCUUUCUUUACUUUAUCUGUUCUGUUUUGCUUUGUUUUUACUUGAACCACGUCUUCAAAUUUGCUUAAUUUUCCUUUGUAUGAGAAUGCAGGAGGUCCCACUAAUUUGCAUGGCCUCUACUAAAUCCAUGACAUGGUAACUCUCGCUCCCUUCUUUUGUAUACUUCCGUUCCGUGCCCUCCGGUCUUCAGUAUAUUGUACUCAAGUGAAUUUCUUGUGAUGGUCCCCCACAUAACAAGCUUGUAUAAUUUUUUAUUCGCCAACACCUACUUGCAUCUCUUAUUUUUAUUUUCUUCAGCCGAAUACAUAUAAUAUAAUUGUAUUUUGAAGCUUUGACCUUGACUUAGGGCGCGUCCAGGACCAAAGCCGCUCUCCAAGAUAUCUUGAGCUAAUCAUCUCCUACUUGUAUUCUGGAAUUUAUUUUGUGUGUUUGACCUGUAUCAUCAGGCUUGCCUCACGUCUUCGACCUGUGUCUCCGGGCUUGUCUUGUGUCUUCGACCUGUGUCUUCGGGCUUGUCUUGUGUCUUCGGCUUGUAUCCUGAAACUUGUCCUGGAUCUCCGACCUGUCCUCGGAGCUUGUCCUGCGUCUUCAACCUGUACCUCGAUGCGUGUCCAGGGCUUCAGCCUUCAGCCUGUAUCCUAGAGCUUGUGGUAGGUCUUCCCUCAUAAUCCUCUGCUGUAUAUAUCUCCGAGACGAGCUUUUCCCUGCAGAUGCUCCAAGCGAUGUGUCCCUCCAAAGAUUUCGCAUAUGAUUCGAUAGGGUUCUUCCCAGUUAACACCGGACACUCCAUGACUUGACAAGUUCAUUCCUGGCAUCAUCCUGCAUAGCACUAGGUCCCCCGUCUUCAAAUACUUGACCUUCACCUUGCUAUUGUAGAAUCGAGAUGUUCUCUGUUGAUAUGCCGCCUUCCUGAUUCGUGACUCUCUUCUGACUUCUUUCACCAUAUCGGGGUGAAGCCUCUGAUUAACUUCAUUUGCCUCCUGCUCGAAGUUGUCUCUCCUUAAAGAACUUGCUUCAACCUCGACUGGAACCAUUGCCUCAGGAUCUUUAGAGCAAGUGAACUACCCCCCGAGUGAUUGCCACAUAUUUCUUCAUGUACUUCCCUCAUCUACCAGGAAAACAAUGGCGUUGGUGUGUAGUUUCUUCUAUUGGUGGUAUUGUCUCUGUUUGGAUUUUGAUGUCUGCUUCUAUGCUCCGGGCUGAAAGAUUGUUCUCGUCUCCUCUUCUUGAUCUUUGAAGGACUUUGAGAUUCAUUCUUCUCGCUUUCAGCCAAGGAUUAUUCCACGUUCUUAUACGCUUCGGCCCGAGCGUAAAGGUCAGCCAGGGACUUGGGUCGUUGACUUGUAGAUGAUUCCAAAAGUCUGUUCCCACUCUGAGACCUGUAUCCAAGAAACUCUUCUGCAUCUCGACAUUGAACCUGUCAAGAAACUCAACAACAUCGGAGUUGCCAUGAAAUUUGAGAUCUGAUGUGUGUUCUUGAUGGGUGAAGGAGCCUUGAUGACUUCGGCAAAGACUGGUUCUUGACCGGAGGUGACGUCUUUCCUUCAUCAAAGUGUGUCGAGAUCCUCCUGAGAGUGUUGAUGUUGAUAGCACCGAUCCCUAAAAUUUUCAGGAUAUUAGGUUGGACAAGCGUUGUAGAUGGGAUUCCCCCUGUAACUAUGAGGUCGCUUGGCGGCGGAGCAAGGAGAUUCGACGAAGUGGCAAGAUUUGACGGAGCAAGGAGAUUCGACAACGGAACAAGAUUUGAUGAGGGAGCAUGAGAUGAUGACGGAGUGAGAAGAUUGGCCGAUGUCUGUUGUAGGGUUGUGUGGUUGAUCUGUGCCUCUAUGAGAUUGAAGUGAAGCGCAUCUGUGCUAUGUUAGAAGGAGGUGCACCUCCUAACAUACUUCCUCCCUGCAAAAGAUACAAUCGACACAAUAUAUCGUAUACGAGUAUCAAGAAGAGUAUUUACCUUACAGCGCGCCCGGUCAGGGGGAGGCGCGCUUCGAUCUAUUUUGUCAGCCGCGGGACUUGCUUCCUUCCGACGCCUUUAGAAAGUCUUCGAAAUCCGCAAAUCGUGCUUCCCUCAUAUGUUGGCCUCUUGAACCUUCGCUCUGAUCUUGCCUUCAUCUUUCAACCUUGCCUUGUUCAAUAUCGAUAACAAACAACCAUGCUUACCGUCGUCUUUUCCCUCUGAACAUACUUCUCCAUCGAACCCGUCUUCUCCUUCAUAACGGUCUUCUCCUUCGAUCCCAUCGCCUUCUCCCUUGAAGGGACUUCUCAGAUAAUUCAUCGUUACUCACCAAGAUUGGCGGCGACUUGGCGACCGGCCAUUGUAGACUGACGUUGUCUCCAUCUGUUAUCACAAUUGCCUGUUCUUGGGGGGUGUUCCCGACCGUGGUGUUGUCUCGCCGUGGUUCGACAUCUUUCUCCUUGAUGGAAAAUCUUGAACUAGCCCCUCCUACCAGCGCCAAUUUGUUAACGGAGAAAACUGGUAGGUUAACAAAGCUGAGGUUCGCGGCGUGGAUCAAGAUUCUUGUUGGCGAGAAUAUAGGAAGUGGUUAGUUGUUUGUUAUGGAGGUGGCUGCAAUUGUAAGCAAAGGGUUCAAGAUUGCUAACUGGAAUAGCUCUCAAGAAUGAUCGAUGCUUACAAUCUGCCUACGUACCCCUAUUUAUAGGGGAUCAAGCCGGCACGUAGUUCUUUCUCCUAAGAGACCCAUGUGGGCUGGGCCUCCCCUUCUAGAAUCUUCCUCCCGAAAGAGGCCCAAUACGAUGAGGCCUAGUCUUGGGCCUUGUAGACUCUCGAGCACCCAAGACUUACCCCAAAUGCAUGGACACUACUCUCCUCCCCGACAGGGACAACCCGCCAGACUACAGAGAUAGAGCCUUCCAGGGCGCAUCUUCUCUUUAACCUCUACCUCCCAAGGAGGACAACUCCUCAGACUACAAGGUAGGGCCUUUGAUGAUUCAACAGUAGGAUUUACUUAUGCUUAAGGGCGUCCCCCUAAACAAGAAGUAUCUCCUUCUGUUCUUCUAAAUU